AGUGAACGCUGGCGGUAGGCCUAACACAUGCAAGUCGAACGGCAGCACAGUAAGAGCUUGCUCUUACGGGUGGCGCGUGGCGGACGGGUGAGGAAUACAUCGGAAUCUACUUUUUCGUGGGGGCUAAUGUAGGGAAACUUACGCUAAUACCGCAUACGACCUACGGGUGAAAGCAGGGGAUGUUCGGACCUUGCGCGAUUGAAUGAGCCGAUGUCGGCUUAGCUAGUUGGCGGGGUAAAGGCCCAGCACGGCGACGAUCCGUAGCUGGUCUGAGCGGAUGAACAGCCACACUGGAACUGAGAAACGGUCCAGACUCCUACGGGAGGCAGCAGUGGAGAAUAUUGGACAAUGGACGCAAGCCUGAUCCAGCCAUACCGCGUAGGUGAAGAAGGCCUUCGGGUUGUAAAGCCCUUUUGGUGGGAAAGAAAAACAGCAGGUUAAUACCCCGCGGUUCUGACGGUACCCAAAGAAUAAGCACCGGCUAACUUCGUG
rnacentral:rRNA from 1 species